rnacentral:rRNA from 1 species
UGGGGAAUUUUGCACAAUGGGGGAAACCCUGAUGCAGCAAUGCCGCGUGAGUGAAGAAGGCCCUUGGGUCGUAAAGCUCUUUCGGCUGGAAAGAAGGGUCAUAUGGCUAAUAUCCAUGUGAUUUGACGGUACCAGAAGAAGAAGCACCUGCUAACUUCGUGCCAGCAGCAGCGGUAAUACGAAGGGUGCAAGCGUUGUUCGGAAUUACUGGGCGUAAAGGGCGCGUAGGCGGGUUUGUAAGUCGAAUGUGAAAUCCCCGAGCUUAACUUGGGACCUGCAUUCGAUACUGCUAAUCUUGAAUGCUUGAGAGGGUGGUGGAAUUCCUAGUGUAGAAGUGAAAUUCGUAGAUAUUAGGAGGAACACCUGAGGCGAAGGCGGCCACCUGGCAAGACAUUGACGCUAAGGCGCGAAAGUGCGGGGAGCAAACAGG